CUCUCUCUCUUGAAUUCGAUGGAUUGUUACAUUUUUCCCUAUUCUCAACCAUAUCAGCUCUCUCCCCCUUUCUACCUCUGUCUCUUGAAUCUUCUUGGGUUGUUGCAUUUUCCCUUCUUGGUUUGCCGAUAUAUUGUUAUUCCCCAACUAUGUUCUGAACCAGGCAUAUUUCUUUCUUUCUUUGAUUUAUCUUUUCAGAGUUGGUUUUCUUGGAGUUCAUGAAUGCUAAACUUCAAGAUACACUCUCUUUCGUUGCUCUCAGAAUUCAUUUGGUGUGAAGAAUUGCACUCGAUGACCCCCUCAUAUACAUGUUUUACAUAUAUGAUUGUUUGUUUGUUUCUCAAGUGCUUUUGUUUUCUCUUUUGAGUUCUUUUUUUAAAAAAAAACUGUUGACUUCUUUUUACACAGGCCGGUAGGGAAGGAGUUAUGAGUACUCUCUUUUUAGUUCUUUCUGCUGCAUCUUUUCUCUUUCUAUUGUUUUGGGAUUUGGAGAUGCCAUUGACAAUGGAAGUUCAAAAUUGUUUUCAAUGGUCUUUUAGAUUCUUUAUUUAUUUGUUUAACAUUUUUGCUUUUGCCUUAGUAUUUUUUUUUCUAUAUCAGUUUUAUGUGCUCCACUUCUGGAUGAUAAUGGGAAAUUAAGAUUCAGUUUGACAUUUGGUUCCUUGCUUUCACUAUUCAGGUGCUUGUUUCUUUGUUAUUGGUUUUGCAUUGGAAGAUGAUCAUUUGUAUAUGGGUUGACGUAGGUUGCUGAUUAAGUGUUUCCUUUGCUGUUAUUAAUGCCUAUAUUUCUCUGCUGGUAUAUGUUCUUGGCAAUGGUGGACUCACUGUUAGUGACUGUUUAAGUUGCUUAUCUGAUUCUUUUAUAAAAUUCUAAACCAAUCUCUGUGUGUGUGUGGCUGCCUGUUUUUUCAAUUUCUGGGUGGUGGGGGAGCUACUGAUAACAGAAAUUUAUUUAUUUUUUGAUAUUAUUCUGAUAGUAAGUUCAGACUCCUUGUUUCUGUUUCUCUUGCUACCUGUUUUUCUAGAUUGGUGAAAGUAUUGUUGUAGAAGGAAGUAUAAGUUGAAGGAAUCGGGCUUGGGUUAAGACGGCAGCAGCUGGGUUUUCAUAGCACUUUGUCUCAAGUUCUAUUCCUAUGUAACCUUGUCAAAAAAAAAAAAAGCAAAAAGAAAACGAAAAAACAGAUAAGUCGAAUUAUCAAAAUGAACAAGUGUGGCCCUCUUUCUCUUAGUAGCUUGAUUUGGGUAUUUAUAAUGGCUGGCUUGUGCUUCCCCUUUCUUUAGGUCCUUUUGUGCCUUUUCAUGUUUAUCCAUUAUGGCAUUGAAAAAUGACACUAACAAGACCUGUUUCUAUUCAACUUCCAACGCAUGAUUAGAAUAUUGCUGGCCGAUCUAUUGGUUUGAUAUUUUGAGUUCAUUCUGUGUACCAAAGAAGUCACAAAGAACUAUGGUACAUCAUUUGCUUGGAUGGAAAACCAUGUGAUCUUGCAUCUAUUAAUCUUCGAUAACUAUCUCUUGUUUCAUUUUUUUCUUUCCCCUCUUGUUUCCCUUCUAUUUUUGUCCUCUUUAUCCUCAUUUUCAUUUCUGGGUAGUAAACAAACAGUUGAAAAUGUGAUAUGAAUUCCAUAGAAAAUCUUUAGAAUUUAGACUACCUCUAUGGAUUUUAUUUGCUUUGCUCUUUGCAUUGAUAUUUUCAGGGUGCUUGUCCCCAACCCAAUGUAUUUCUCUGAUUCUAUAUGAUAUGAAUCACUUCCAUAGAAAAUCUUUAGAAUUUAGACUGCCUCUAUGGAUUUUAUUUUCUUUGCUCUUUGCAUUGAUAUUUUCAGGGUGCUUGCCCCCAACCCAAUCUGUUUCUCUGAUUCUCAUGGCCUUAAAAGUAUAUCUCUUGUUUUUGGAGAAAGGUUGACUUUGUUACGUAUUCUUAGGGCCUUAAAUUCAUGCAUGUUAGUAAAUGGCUGGGUGUGGAACUUUUAGGGCGUAUUUGUUCAUGGAAGAGGGGGCUGCCAAAGCCCUCUCAUGGAAGGGGCAGCUUUCAUAAAACAAUGUCAAGAGACGUAGUUUUUGCUCUCUCAUGGGACCUGCGGUUUCCAUCUUGCGGCUUCCAUGAGUGUGUCCAACAAAUGUCGGAGUCUGUUUGGUGGAUCUUGGGUCUCCCACCACCCCAAAGUUCCACUGAAACAAACAUGCCCUUGGUGAAAAACUUCCUUUUUUUAUGUGGAGUUCUAGAAACUAAUCUCAAGGACUAAAAAUCUAGAAAAUAACCAAUCUCAAUGACAAUAUCAUAUCUAUUUUGAUUGCAAGUCUGCUUUUUUUAAUUUAGUGCUGCUCUUGUCGCC
rnacentral:lncRNA from 1 species